AACGCAUCUUGCACUCUCGGGUAUUCCCGAGAGUAUGUCUGUCUGAGUUUCAUUUGAACUCUCAAGGUCUCUUUCCCUUCAUCGGGUAGGGGUACUUUUGGAUCGUGGGCGUUUGCCGGCCUUGCCUGCUCGCCUCAAAUCAAAUGUGGUGGUCUUCUCUGAAGCCGUUGUCGGGUUUGACCCAGAGUGAUAGAAGUCUUUCGAGAUCUCUGGGGACUGCCUUAGGGUGGCCUGCUUUGGUGGGAGGGAUCGCCUAGUUAGACUCAUCUGACGUUUUUGAACUCAGAUCAGGCAGGACUACCCGCUGAACUUAA
rnacentral:misc_RNA from 1 species